rnacentral:rRNA from 1 species
ACUCCUACGGGAGGCAGCAGUGGGGAAUAUUGCACAAUGGGCGCAAGCCUGAUGCAGCAACGCCGCGUGAGCGAUGAAGGCCUUCGGGUCGUAAAGCUCUGUCCUCAAGGAAGAAUAAAUGACGGUACUUGAGGAGGAAGCCCGGGCUAACUACGUGCCAGCAGCCGCGGUAAUACGUAGGGGGCAAGCGUUAUCCGGAAUCACUGGGGCGUAAAGGGGUGCGUAGGCGGUUUUCAAGUCAGAAGUGAAAGGCUAUGGCUCAACCAUAGUAAGCUUUUGAAACUGUUAAACUUGAGUGCAGGAGAGGAAAGUGGAAUUCCUAGUGUAGAGGUGAAAUUCGUAGAUAUUAGGAGGAACACCAGUGGCGAAGGCGACUUUCUGGACUGUAACUGACGCUGAGGCACGAAAGCGUGGGGAGCGAACAGGAUUAGAUACCCUGGUAGCACAGAG